UGUUUUUGCUGCUCAUACCUUUACAAUAGUUUGCUUAAUUAUCCAGGACAAUUUAUUGAAUCUUGUUGUGGUGUUUUUACACAGUACAGCAGUUAUUCUACGUUUAGCUUUUUAAGUAGAACGUUGGCUUUUCACCAGCUUCUCACUCGGGGGAGAACUGUUGAUGACGAGUACCUAUUGUAAUGCUAAUGAACUGGUUGGGCCAUGUGAAGGAUUACCACUCAGGGACUAGACCGCUAAAAUACUUCAGAAAACACCUCAAUUGAAUGAAAAAACCAGUUGCAGUCGCGAAAGCAUUAAGCCAAUCAGGCAUGGAUAAAACACAGGAUCAGUCUAUGUGUCAACGGGGUACUAGUUUCUCCCCUGUCCAAGAACGGGUAAUGGUCUGGUCUGACAGCGCACAGCUCGGCUGUCUGCAGCAGAGAGCAGACGAAGAGAUAAAUCAGUGCUCUAAACCCUGAAGCCAAAACUCGUACACAUCCAAAACGGAAUAAAUAUAAAUCAAUAUUAUUAUCAAGUUAAAUCCUGUCCUCCGCGGAUACAUCUGAUGUAUCCUCCGAGGUCUACCAUAUCCCAGGAUGCCAUGCAAACUGGUGACGUUUAUUCAAAGUAAAUAGCGGUCAGGUCUCUGCAGCAGAGUGGAUUUAAAAGCAGCAGCAAGCAGAACCACUAAUGAAUGUGAAUAAAAAUAAAAAACUUGAUAAACACACUUCUGCUAAAUGACAUGAUGGAUUUCCUCUGUGUUAGUGAUGGAAGUUCUCAUAAUAGAAGACAUGAAACUGCAGAGGGAUGAUGGAUAUAUUCUUACCUCUACUUUGAGAUUAGAUGAAAAAAAAGAAUAGUAAUUGUUAAAUACAUUGUUUAUUUCAUUUACUCUGGUUUGAACCGUUAUUUACAACAUGAAGUAUAACAGUGGAAUAAUAGGGUAUCGCUAGGUCAUUAAACAGUCUUAAAUUCAGUUUUAAUUAUAUUAAUAGGUUUAGGGGAAUAAGGAGAAUAUAAACAGUUUCAAACCACAGCUAGAUAACAUUACAAAACUAAUAUUGUUAAGAAUCAAUCUAUGCAAGAUGCUUUUGUUGAUUAAUUAAACAAACAUAUUUGUAUUAUUACAGCAAUAUUAAGACUUGUUUUAAAUAGGAAAUGAUUAAAUGACAUCAGCUAUAUAUACAUCAUUUACUUGUUAACUAAUGUAACAUUACUGGAGGCCAAAGGAACAGCUUAAUCUUUUUUCUAUUUAUUUCAUCGCUGGCAGUAAUCUCCAAUAAAUUGUUCAACAAAAAAAAGGAAAACUAAAGUGUCUGGAUCCUCUUCAGCUGAGUUUGCUUGUUAAAUAAUUUACUAUCAGGCUUCUGGAGCGCAACAGAACAGCUCGUAUCACGUGACGUAAACAGGAGGUGCUCCGUAAACUAGACCGUCUCAUUUCGUAGGCCGCUCGGUCCAGCCUACCCGAUCUACCCCAGCUAACAGUUACGUUGCGCUUUCGUAACUUUAUGACCAAACAUACGUUGCCGCCACGUAACUUCUAACGUUGCCAAUACGUGCGGGUGAAAGACGCGAUAACGUUGCCGCAACAUAUCUUGGCGACGUUGCUCGUCCGUAACCGCCACGUCCUGGCGACAUCGCGGCAACCAAAAGAACAUACUGGCGACAUUGUAGCAACCAUCUUGAGAAAUGUUGCCAUAAUGUCGCCAUUAGGGCGGAUCUGCUUGGUGCAGUCCUCAUUUGCCCUAGAACCCCCAAAAUCUAGUAUCACAUUCAUAUUUUACCUGCAUUUUGGGUGGGUGCUGUAGCUAAUGUUGACCCCAAGCCUAUUCAAAAGAAAAGACAGCACUAACACAUAUCAAUUUAUUAUAGUUUUAUUUCAAAACUAUUGGGAAUUUCAAUUUUGGGGAUCUUCCACCUGCCGUUCCAGCCGACCCUGUGAAGACCAAAGAGAAGAGAACAGGUGAAUACAUUUAUAUUCAUUUUACAUUCUGUCAAAUGUCAUUUUACAUUUAGUCAAAACUUAAAUAGGGUUAUGCCAAUAGCUGAAGUUACGCCAGACUUUGUGUCUGGCCCGACAUUGUUGAGUGCAUCCAGGUUUGUUCUUCACUGUGACUGGUUGGCAUCUUAUUUAUUAGUUGUAACCUAUUUCUUAUUCCUAGCCCAUAAGUUAUUUAAGUUUAACUUUUUAGCAUUUAGAUAGUUUAUCCAUUUAUUAACCCGGCAGUAUUUUUUGGCCAGCUGUCUGUCAACUACCUCUAGAAUAUUUAGUUGCCAAGUAGACCUGUUCGGGAUUUAAUAGUUAAGCGAACCAAAUGAAAAUAGUUAAUGUGAUGUUAAUUUCAUCAGCCAAAAAACACUAAACCUGGAUUAAACCAAACAUAAAGCAACAAGUAUUGCAACGGAGAUUUGUUAGUGAAUUUGUUAUCUCACUUAAAAUCACAAUACCAAACAUAAUUUCAUGCGUCUUUGGCUAUAAGCUUCAUUGGUUGACUGGCUAACUAUUAGCCGGCUCGCUAGUUAAAACAAGCAGUGUAACAAUAGUGUUGGUAUGGAAACGGUGGUGCUGUUGCAAGCGUCACAAGGGUUAGCCUUGCUGGCCAAAAUUGGCUUGAAGACGAGGUGUAACUCUUGUGAAUAAGCUUAAAAAGUAGGGCAUGGAUCUGCAUCAUUUUGUGUUGGUGUAAAAAAAUAUGAAAAUUGUUCCCUAAUAGUCAGUCGGCAUGUUCGUAUAAUUGAUCUGCUGGAGGGAUUGCAUAUGCCUCUCUCGUUUCAACUCACCUUCAAACUUUUGGAGUGGGCUGAGGGGGAAUGUUUUAAGAAUUUUGCUAUCAGCCGCCCCACAUCCUUCUCUUCCAGCCCCGGCUUCCAUUUCAUGAUAGCCUCUGUAAUUAGAUUGAAUCCGUGAUCAUUAGAUUCAAUUUGUGAUGUUAGUUUCAGGUAAACGCUUACAGAUACUAUAUUUUUCUGAAAGCAUAUAAGUCCAUGAAUCACAGGCCCAAAAAUGGGCGUGUCACCAACACUCAGGGGCAAAUUCUCACUUUUUCUUAAAAGUGUAGAUUAAUAGCUGAAACAGCAAAAUAGAUUUGUUUGCACAUAUUUGGACUUCUUUCCUCGAAGGCUGUAGCUGCUCCACACAAACUCCCCGGGAUUGGACCCACCGACUAGGCUCAGAUGGGGACUAAGGAAAGCAAACAACCAUGGUUAAGGACUUUGUUUCCGCCCUCCUGUUCCUCCUGACAGCCUGAUCCCAGUCAUCUAAACAAAGAGCGAAAAAACGAGCCACAUUCCAUCUUCUCUUCCUUUUUCACAUCAGCAUGUGUCGAGAUGGAAGCAUGCUGAAUCUCUCCCGUCUCACGCAACUAAUUUUACGGAUUAUGUCAUCAAAGAAAGAAAUCCUGAAGAACUUGAACUGGUUCAACUGUGGAUAUUGCGACUAGAACGAGCUAGUCUCUGCGUUGACCUUCCAUGAUGAGGGACCAUUUCCAGUCUACAGCUGCAGCGAUCCUUUCCAAAACACCCGAAACAUGCUUGCCCAUCUUCACAUCAUCCUUACUGAGAAAAAAAGCAAGUAACGGGUGUGGUGGUGUGCAUACCUUCGUACACAACGCACAGAGCCAUUUUAUUUCACUUUCCAGGUUGACUAGUGUGGUCAAGAAGAGGAAGUUUGUGUUUGUUUAUUUUACUUUGAACUGUCGAAAUUGUCUGUUGGCACGACCACAUUGUAUUUCACAAGAUAAUUGUUUUAGUUGGCUGACGCUUUUGUCCAUAGCAACUUGCAUUGAAUCUUAUACGGUACUUGCAUGUAAAGGAAUCAUUUAUUUACUUCCUAUUAGUUGAAAGACAUUCUAUAAUGUAAUUUACAAGUACAAGAGAAGAAUUAAGAUUGUGUUUUGUUUCUAACCUAGUCUUCUUGACUCAUAUUUAUUGUUAUUUGUUAUUAACCAUUAACCAUCAUUCUAAGCUAAAUUGGUAUGACUUAAAAAAAAGAGGUAGAAAAUAACCAAGAAUUGCAGUUCUAAAGGAAGUCUUUCCAGUCAGUACCUAUAAGAUCUGAUCUGAAUAGGCUUAUGCGCCCCACCACCCCCUAAACAUUUCUCCAUGGCUUUAUGAAUCACAUUGUAGAAAAAGUUUUGCCUUAUCCCAAAACAUGGCUAAAAAGGCAAAUAAGAAUCUUUUCCAUAACAGGUGUGUUAAUGGGCAGCAAUAACAAGUGGUGAUGUACACAAAAAGCAACACAUUUAGAGUUGUAAUUUCUGAAAGAGUGUAAUUUGUAGCUGAAAAUUCCCACAAUCACAUUGUAGCUUUCAACAUGUGUUAUGCGGUCAUAAUACUGCGCUAAGUUCUUAUCACAUAUUUCUGAUUGUUCUCCCCUGUGGACCAGCCACAGGCAGUGAUGACACAUACUGGACAUAAGUAAUUAACCACUGUUUUAUGUGUGUUUAUUUAAUGUAUUUUAUGUUUUGUUAUAUUGCAUAGAAAAAUAUGCCAUUAUUUCUAUGCAUGCGCUUAGUUAACAGUUAUCAUAUCUCUGUGCUGAGCUACAGUACUGUUGUUAUUUCUACUUUUUUAAUAUUUUGAAGGUAUGUUAUUUCUAGCUCUUUUGUCGAUUCAUUUGUUUCUUCAAGUGUUAUAAUUUCACAUUGACGUGACUGCUUGUAUUUGUACUCCCUAUGUGAUGUAUAGCACGAUGAUAUAUUCUGGUGUUUCCAUUGUAGUUCUUUGCAUGAGCUGACAGAUUUUUGUUAUAACCACGUGGUCCCAACAGUUUAAUUGAAAUUCAGGUGGUCUAUGUACUGUGAAAAUAAAUAAUUAUACUAUGUAG